rnacentral:ncRNA from 1 species
UGUCUCCUCCAUCUCCUCCAAGAAAUGGAUUUAAGCCCGCCUGGUGCGGGCUUUUUUUU